rnacentral:rRNA from 1 species
CGGCCUUGACAUCCGGAUGAAUAGGGGGUAAUGCCCCUAGUACUUCGGUACAUUCGAGACAGGUGGUGCAUGGUUGUCGUCAGCUCGUGUCGUGAGAUGUUGGGUUAAGUCCCGCAACGAGCGCAACCCUUACCUUCAGUAGCCAGCGAGCAGAGUCGGGCACUCUGGAGGGACUGCCGGGGACAACCCGGAGGAAGGUGGGGAUGACGUCAAAUCAUCAUGCCCCUUAUGGCCGGGGCUACACACGUGCUACAAUGGCGUAAACAAAGGGAAGCGACCCCGCGAGGGUGAGCGAAUCCCAAAAACAACGUCCCAGUUCGGAUUGCAGGCUGCAACCCGCCUGCAUGAAGCCGGAAUCGCUAGUAAUCGCGAAUCAGCAUGUCGCGGUGAAUACGUUCCCGGGUC